GGAGACCCCGACUUCCCUCACAGAGCUACAGUUGUCAAGAGUGGUGUAACUGUCAAUCCCUCUUCGCAGGGAACUCUGGGAACUGUAGUUCUGUGAGGGGAAUGGGGGCCUC